rnacentral:tRNA from 1 species
AGUGGCGUAGCUCAACCGGAUAGAGCACCUCGUUUUCAAGGCAUUGGAAGUGUCACGACAUUCAAUGUACAGCGAGGAGGUUGCAGGUUCAACUCCUGUCGCCAUCCCCU